CACCCCAACUUGCUGUUGUCUUCAGCGGGAGGGUUAUGCCCUUUUGCCUGGUUUAGAUUUUUUCAUUAGGUGGGGGUGA
rnacentral:tRNA from 1 species